rnacentral:lncRNA from 1 species
CUCAUCUCAUCCUAAACAUCCUUCUUCACCUCCUAAAAAAGUUUGAGUGCUCUGAAGAAGGAGCUCGAUCAGCCAUCAAGAGAAAAUUCUGCAAGAGAGCUAGCACCCCAGGGAGUUUAUCGAACCUCUGAUUAGAUCAGAAGUCUCAUGUAGAUACCUAUAAAGAUCGGAUGUCUAUACGGCUAGAAGCAACUGAUAAAAUCAUGAUC